rnacentral:rRNA from 1 species
UACGUAGGGUGCAAGCGUUGUCCGGAAUUAUUGGGCGUAAAGAGCUCGUAGGCGGCCUGUUACGUCUGCUGUGAAAUCCCGGGGCUUAACCCCGGGCGUGCAGUGGAUACGGGCAGGCUGGAGGCAGGCAGGGGGAGAACGGAAUUCCCGGUGUAGCGGUGAAAUGCGCAGAGUAUCGGGAGGAACACCGGUGGCGAAGGCGGGUUCCUCUGGGCCUGACUG